CUGAAAGGUAUUGUUGCUACCUGAUGC
rnacentral:misc_RNA from 1 species